CUCAACUGACCUCGGGUGGGCUUUGGAGACCACCAAAACCACCCUGGGGGGCUUGGGGACCACCAGGAACAUCAUGGUGGCCACCAGGAACAUCAUGGUGACCACCAAGAACAUCAUGGUGGGCUUUGGGGACACCAUGGAGACCACCAAAACCACCCUGGGGGGCUUGGGGACAUCAUGGAGACCACCAGGAACAUCAUGGUGGGGUUUGGUGACCACCAAAAACAUCUUGGUGAGGUUUGAGAACAUCUUGGUGGGGCUUGGAGACCACCCUGGUGGGCUUGGGGACCACCAGAAACAUCUUGGUGGGGCUUGGUGACCACCAAGGUCAGGUUUUGGCCACCAAGGUUGGAAUUUGGCCACCAAGGUCAGGUUUUGGCCACCAAGGUCACCAUUUGGCCACCAAGGUCAGGUUUUGGCCACCAUGGUCGGGAUUUGGCCACCGUGGCCAAGAUUUGGCCACCAAGCUCCAUCUUUGGCCACCAAGGUCAGUUCUUGGCCUCCAAGGUCAGGUUUUGGCCACCAGGAUCAGGUUUUGGCCACCAAGGUCAGGUUUUGGCCACCAAGGUCAGUCUUUGGCCACCAUGGCC
rnacentral:lncRNA from 1 species